GCACUGCUGAAGAGUCCCAUAAUAGGACGACACCGUCGUCCAGUAC
rnacentral:hammerhead_ribozyme from 1 species